ACCAAAAAGACCGAAGUGAGAGAGAGAGAGAGUUGUGAAGUUGGUGAAGAACUCUGAACAACCAACUUCCCAAACCUCAAUAAUAAAAGAGACCCUUUUUAUGCUUUUCAGCUUCUUCUGAAACCAUUGAAAAAAUCAAUUCAGGUUUUGCAACAACAACAACAACAAGAAUAGUUCAAGUACUGCUAGAGGAUGGGAACGAACGAAUGGCACAUCGAAAGAAGAUCUAGCUUUGAAACUGAGUCGACUUCCAUCGACGUUUUCUAUCCCAAAUGACCCCUCAGAACAGUAUUGAUGAAGAUAUAUAAGAGAUCAAUUGAGAAUGUUGCUGGUUUUGGAUCUGAAAAAGCAUGUAGGAAGCUAUUUGGACUCUGAUGUUAAACAUCACAAGUCAACCGGUUUACUCAUGCACCAACAAUCAUAAUUUUGAGCUGAUUCUUUGUAUAAUGGGGUCUUCUCUUCUAUAGUGGUUCAAUGACAUUAUGUUCAAAAGCAGGAUCAUCAUCUCUACGAACUUCACCAUUUCAAUUGUUACAUAUGCUCCUGAACAGUUAUUAGGCAGCAGUCUUGGCAGCAGCCCCGAUGAUAAUAGUUCCGAUGGGAUCAAACUAGAUGAAAAUGAAGUAUGGCAGUUCCGGUUUGCUUAUGGCAAUACAUGGCAGGGAAUGGUACUUGCAAUAUGUCCUUAUCUUGAUCGUUACUUUCUGGCAUCAGCUGACAAUACUUUUUAUGUGUGUGAUUUUCCAAAUGACAAUCCCCAAAGAGUGAGAAAGUUUGCGCAGGGAAGGACACGUUUCUUGGUAACUGUACAUUUCACUAGAAUCACUGUUGGUGAUUGUCGUGAUGGUGUCAUUUUCUAUUUCUACCACGAGGAUACAAAAAGAUUGGAGCAACUUUACUCUGACCCAUUGCUGAGGUUAGUUGCUGAUUGCAUUCUUAUGGAUGCUGAAAUGGCUGUCGGCUGUCGUUUCGGACCGUAAAGGAAGCAUUGCUAUUUUAUGUUCAAUCAUUUGGAAGGUUAGUCUUCUGUUAAACCAGCUUCUCCUUAAUGAAUUUCUAAUCUAGGUUCAGGUUGAAAGAAAAUUAUCGACGAGAAAAAAGUGAUUAGUUGAUUUUGAAUUAGUGUGGGUUGGUCUCAAAUUUAUCUUUUUUUGGGUGUAGGUUUUAUCUUGUUUUUCAGCUCUCUUGAAGUUUCAGCUGAACUCUUCUGCAUGAUUGAUAAAAAUUUGUAGCUUUUAUUUUAUUUUUAUCUGGGUCAAUCUUGAUAAAUUUGGUUUAAGUAAAUUUUCUAGAAAAAACAUUCUGCUUUAUUUGUAAAUUGGCUUCUUGAAACUUAACUUAUUACUCUAAAGAUUUUGUGUCUAUUGCAGAAUAAUAAUAUUUGUUUUUUAGUAUCUAUUAAUUGAAAAAAGGAGUUUAUAUGUUUAUGAAUUUUUUUUUACUUAUAUUUGAUGGGCUGGUGUGGUUUGAGUAACAUGUAUGCAAUACACUUGAGUUUUGGUGGACUUUAACUCAUUCCAAGUAUUGAUUUAUAAUAUUGAAUAAGAUGUAUAGCUUAUAAUCAAUUUUAUAUUUUUUUAAAUAGAUAGUCACAUGGUUUGGUAACAUGAGGUCUAUAUAUUCUCCUCCCAUUCUCCAUUCUUUCGACUCCACUUCUCCUCUCUAGCGCUCUUUAAUUUGUCAAAGCUUUGGAAGAUAUGGGUUAAGUAGCUCUCUCGAAUGGGCAGAGCCAUUCUCGGAAUGGUUAUAGGAAGAGCUGUUGGUAUAAAGAAAAGAUUGAAGACAACUUAAGAUGGUGUUUUGCUCUUAAUAGAUAGCUAAAACAGGUUUUUUACGCACUAUUUUCCUACAUUGAGUCUUGUUGCAUAUAGAGGCGUUUUUUGGCACAAGAGAGUAUUGGCAAAAUGAUAAAGAAUCAAGAAUUAUGUUCCGCGCAUAUAAAAGACGGUUCUGCUGUGCAAAGAAUUGGAAAGAACAAUUCUAAUGAAACUACUGUCAAGAAGAGAUCAAUAACAAAGAAAGAGGGUAUGCUAAUUUUUUUCUAGUUUAAUAUUAGAUUGAUGUUACAUGUGUUCUUGAUUUUGUCGAUAUAAUCUAAUUGGUUGAUAAGUUUGUUACAUUCAAAGUUUACUGAUUUUAAGAAUUAAUUUUCAUUUUACAAUAUUUUGUAUAACCUUAUCUUACGUUUUUCAUUGUUAUCAUGUUUAAUUUUCUUAUAUUUUUUUCUAUAAAUUAACAUUGAAAUAUAUAAAUAUGUUACUGGACAUCACAGCAAGAGGUUGACAAAAUAUGAUGUGAAAGCUGAUCGAUCUGUAAGUUUGUAUAAUAUUGUUUCAUACUUAUUGGUUACUUUAUUUUUUAUGGACUAUUUUUAACCUUUUUUUUACACAGUAUAUUUUCUAUGAGUUUGCUAGGUUGUUACUUAACAGUGGAGGAUCGGAACAUUGGAAGUUUAUUGUUAAGGAUUCAGAGAUUACUAAAACUUUUGCAAUGCAUGUCUUGAAAAGUAAAGGUAGGAAACGAGAGUACAAAAUUGGUCCUAAAUAGAAAGAUUUUGUGAGAAUACAUAAACUUAGAACUGGAUAUUUAGGAGGGUUUCGAAAGAAGAUGAUCUAAUUCAGGUUUAUGUGAUUAGAAAGUAAUUAUUCAGCUGCUUGAAAACUUUCUUGUGUUAGGUUUGAGAUGUGUAUUCUAUUUUGGAUCUUAGGUGUUUCUGAUCUAAAAUUCAAAGUAUGUAUGAGAUGUGAACUUUUUGGUUAACUUAUGUACUUUUUUAUAUCAG